GAUGAACGCUGGCGGCGUGCCUAAUACAUGCAAGUCGAGCGAACGGACGAGAAGCUUGCUUCUCUGAUGUUAGCGGCGGACGGGUGAGUAACACGUGGAUAACCUACCUAUAAGACUGGGAUAACUUCGGGAAACCGUAGCUAAUACCGGAUAAUAUUUUGAACCGCAUGGUUCAAAAGUGAAAGACGGUCUUGCUGUCACUUAUAGAUGGAUCCGCGCUGCAUUAGCUAGUUGGUAAGGUAACGGCUUACCAAGGCAACGAUGCAUAGCCGACCUGAGAGGGUGAUCGGCCACACUGGAACUGAGCCACGGUCCAGACUCCUACGGGAGGCAGCAGUAGGGAAUCUUCCGCAAUGGGCGAAAGCCUGACGGAGCAACGCCGCGUGAGUGAUGAAGGUCUUCGGAUCGUAAAACUCUGUUAUUAGGGAAGAACAUAUGUGUAAGUAACUGUGCACAUCUUGACGGUACCUAAUCAGAAAGCCACGGCUAACUACGUG
rnacentral:rRNA from 1 species